rnacentral:rRNA from 1 species
GACGAACGCUGGCGGCGUGCUUAACACAUGCAAGUCGAACGAAGAGCGAUGGAAGCUUGCUUCUAUCAAUCUUAGUGGCGAACGGGUGAGUAACGCGUAAUCAACCUGCCCUUCAGAGGGGGACAACAGUUGGAAACGACUGCUAAUACCGCAUACGAUCUAAUCUCGGCAUCGAGGAUAGAUGAAAGGUGGCCUCUACAUGUAAGCUAUCACUGAAGGAGGGGAUUGCGUCUGAUUAGCUAGUUGGAGGGGUAACGGCCCACCAAGGCGAUGAUCAGUAGCCGGUCUGAGAGGAUGAACGGCCACAUUGGGACUGAGACACGGCCCAGACUCCUACGGGAGGCAGCAGUGGGGGAUCUUCCGCAAUGGACGAAAGUCUGACGGAGCAACGCCGCGUGAGUGAUGACGGCCUUCGGGUUGUAAAGUCUUUGUUAAUCGGGGGAAAAGGCCUUCUUUUUUUUUGUGAGAGAGGAUGACGUACCGGAAU